AUGAUUGAUUCUCAUACUUGUAUGUGUAUUUGCAAGCUUGGUGGAGAUAUUGCUUGUUCUUUCCAUGUUUACGUUGUGCCCAGUGCUUAUGAUCAUGCUUUGAUCUUGAUUUGUGAUCGUGCUUGCGAUAUGUCAUGUAAAUUGCCUAUGCCCAUCAAUUUCUCACAUGGCAUGAUUGCCAUGAUUUCAUCUAGUGUGUUGCAUCUUCGCUCCACUAGUUUGCACGACUUGAUUACUAUGCUUUCUUAUGUUGCAUCACCGAUGAUUCCUACUUGCUCUUUUGAUGCGGUUGAUGACAACCAUCUACAUGCUUUGCACAUGAUUGUUAUUGCUUCUUGUCACAUAUCUCCAUGUGUUGCCUCUCUCAUGCUAGAUGAUUUUCCAUGUAUUGAGUGCAACAAUGCUUUUAGUCUUGCUAAUGAGAUUGCCCCCAUAACAUUCUCGCAUAAGUUUGGAGAUUUUGACAUAUUUCUUGUGAAGCAUGGUUUCCUUCCUUCUUUGCACCAUAUACCUAGUGCCAUGAAUAUAGCCAUUGUUGCAUCAUAUUGUUCAUGCACUUGUUCUUCUAAUGGUUAUGUGCAAGAGAAGAGAACAUCAUGA
rnacentral:rRNA from 1 species